UGGCAGGCCACGACGUCAAGCUCUAAAAUAGCUGUCAAUGGCAAGCAAGCAAUCCUCAAUCAGCUGAUGGCUCAGCUGACUGCCCCUUUGCUUGGAAAAUCGCAUUCAGAGCGCACUAUUUAAACAGCUCUAGCCUGGCCCCUUUUGCUGCUUUCUCUGCCGGUAAUCGCACAAGACAAGCUCACAUAUGAAGAAGAGAUCGCUGCUCGUGGUUGUACUCACCCUGCUGCUCCUGAUGUUGCUGGCCUCCGUCCACGAUGAGGAUCUGUGGCAAAUUGACUGCAUCAUGGAGUCACAACAAAACUCCGAGGCAGAGGAAGCCAUCUGCGACGACGAGAGGCCUCCUUCUCGCCAUUGAAGCUCUCGCCUGACAGGCAAAGCCACAAAUAUUCCAUCGAUUGAUGACUGGCCGAUUCCAAGGCUGUUAGAGUUUCUGUUUUGCAACGACAUUACCGCUCCAGUCGGAGCGUCGCACCAGGAACUGUUCACACUAUUCCUGGGCUGUGCUGGGUUCCAUUCUCCACCUGCUGAUCACCUUCCGUCCUCCGCUCCUCGGAAAGCUCUAGCAAAAUGCAAACACCGCUCCCGAAACCCAGCAGACGCACCGACUCCAGCUGCUGCCCCGCUGCCCAAAAGAGCUAGAGCCCCGGCCUCAGCAGUCGGCUCCGCGGCUCCGGCAAACGACGCCAUCCUGUCAGCGCUGUCAUCCAUUCAGUCAUCUUUUUCAAGCAUGAACUCAAGAAUCCAGACCUUAGAGGCCUGUGCCACUCCGUCUUCCAGCUCUUUCCAAGCCGCCGUGUUUACAUCCCGGUACCAGGCUGCUUUGUCCUCAGCUGCAGGACCAUCGUCGUGGACCAACGACGUCACUCCGGCACCACAAUCCCCCAUAGAUCUCUGGGAAGUGCAGUUCCAAUCUCCACUGGUGUCCCAUUCUACCCUCCUGCUGCUGCCAUCUCCUCCAAUCUGAGAAGCCAGAUCCUCGCAGCCGUGCUCAAGCCAGCCAGCAGGAGCCGCUGUUUGCCACAGAGAGAGGGGAGCCCAUGUCAUGUGCUUGGUUCACCGCUCGUCUCCGCCUCCUCUGCCAGUCCUGCGGACUCCAACAAGAACGCUACACAGCUCAUUCGUUCCGCAUAGGAGCAGCUACAACAGCAGCAAUGAUAGCGCUUGUGUCCACCUUAAAAGCCAUGGGCAGAUGGUCAUCAUCUGCCUAUGAAUGUUAUCUGCACCCUGAGGUUUGAGCCAUCCUAGAUGCUCAAAAAGCAAUGAGUGCUCUGUAAAUGCUGGCUAUCAUAAUAAAAAUAAAGACCAUG